AGCGAACGCUGGCGGUAGGCCUAACACAUGCAAGUCGAACGGCAGCACAGUAAGAGCUUGCUCUUACGGGUGGCGAGUGGGGGACGGGGGAGGAAUAUAUCGGAAUCUACUUUUUCGUGGGGGAUAAGGUAGGGAAACUUACGCUAAUACCGCAUAUGACCUACGGGGGAAAGCAGGGGAUCGUCGCACCUUGUGGGAGUGAACGAGCCGAUGUCGGGUGAGCUAGUUGGCGGGGUAAAGGCCCACGAAGGCGACGAUCCGUAGCUGGUCUGAGAGGAUGAUCAGCCACACUGGAACUGAGACACGGUCCAGACUCCUACGGGAGGCAGCAGUGGGGAAUAUUGGACAAUGGGCGCAAGCCUGAUCCAGCCAUACCGCGUGGGUGAAGAAGGCCUUCGGGUUGUAAAGCCCUUUUGUUGGGAAAGAAAAGCAGCAGGUUAAUACCCCGCUGUUCUGACGGUACCCAAAGAAUAAGCACCGGCUAACUUCGUG
rnacentral:rRNA from 1 species